UAAAAAAAAGAAAAAAAAAGAAAAAAGUUGGAUUCCUAAGUUUUUAGCAGAAGCUCUGUUCCUGUUGAAAUUUUGUAAAUGGGUAUCAAGGGAGAGAGCCUCAACUUUUCCAUAAGCAGCUUUGAUACUGAAAAGACACCCAAAAAUCCCUGCUUCUGCUUCUGCUUCUCGUUGAAAACAGUAGUAGACCCAAUUUCCACCACCACAAGUCAAAACUGAAAUCCGAUUGAGUUGCAUGCAGCUCCUCAAACUCCUGUGAUCAGAUUCAGAUGAGUGAGUUGGUAGUUGGUAGUUGGUAGUUGCUAUGCUAAGUUGACAGCAAACAAACCCAGCAACCCAGCAACCCAGCUUCACUUCAUCCAUCACUAAUAAUUAAUUAAUUAAUUCUCAAAGCACGAUCAGCACAAGCAGGCACCGGUGAUGUGGCCAUCCGCACAUCUCCUACUACCAGCAGCAGCUGCAGCAGCCCCAGUGCUUUACAGAUUUUAUAAGUAUUUGAGACCUGAAGUCAUCAGGGUUCCCCAAAAUCCUCCGGAACUGUCUGAUCUUGAUCUUGCCAUCCUUGAAGAGAUUCGGAAACUCGGCCCCGCCCUCCUUGAUAAGAUUCUCAAGGACCCCACUCUCCUUGAUGAGUUUCGGAAAAUCGACCCCGCCAUCCUCCAAGAGUUUCGGAAACUCGAUCCUGCCAUCAUUGGCAAGAUACUUCAAUCCUGUUUGAAAGACAACAAGGAAGGUGAAGAAGAGGCGGACAGGAGUAGUUGUAGUGGGCGCGAAACUGCAAAACAAAACGAAAAUGGAAACGAAGAGACGGAUGGAGGAGGAGGAGAAAGUAAGAAUGAGAAUGGCGUUGAGGUGGAGAAGAAGGUUGUUGAUGAAGAAAGAAGCAGAAGCCAGCAUUACCCAGUGAGGCCUGGAGCUGUAGAAGGAAAAACAGGAAGGAAAAACAAGAAAACCAAUCAGGUGUCGAAGGACAAGAUGAAGGAAAGGGAAGGGUUGGCAGCAGAGAAGCCAGGCCAGACAGAAUGCAAGGAUUAUUCCAGGUCAGGAGGACGUAAAUAUGGAAAAGUUUGUAGUUUAAAUCCCGGAAAAGGGGAACCUUCUGUAGCUCCAAUUCUAGAAUGUAACUUUCUGGGCCUGCCAAUUCGGCCGGGGGAGAAAGACUGUUCCUUCUAUAUGCGAAAUGGCUCCUGCAUGUUUGGUACAAACUGCAAGUUUAAUCACCCUGAUCCUACAGCUGCAAGAGAAUCUGACCCCCCAUCUGGAUAUGGUAAUGGCAGAUCUGCAUCAUUACAAGGUGCAUCGUCAUCAACAGCAGCACCAUGGUCUGCACCAAGAUCAUUGAAUGAUGCUCCGCUUUAUGUGCCAAUGGUGAUUCCACAUGUUCAGAUAGGAAGCUGGGGUAAUGCAGGUGGGGCUUGGGCCCAAUCAGAGGCAGGAAACAAAGAUGAAGCAAGUGGCUGGACAAAACCUGCUUUUAAUAAUGAGAAUCAGAAUGACAGUUGGAAGAAACCAAGUGGUAUAGAUGACAAUAAAAGAGCUUCCUGGGGUAAAGCAGAUGGAGGUUCUACUUGGACUAAACAAGAUGGAGAUCCUAUAUGGAAUAAACAAGGUGAAGGUUCUACUUGGAAUAAACAAGAUGGCAGUUCUGCUUGGAAUAAACCAGCAGGAGAUUCUUCUUGGAGUAAACAAGCUGGAGGGUCUUCAUGGGGUAAACGAGCUGAUGUAACAGCAGGACAUUUGUCUGGCGAAGUGGGGAAUCAAGAUAAUGGUUGGAAGAGAGCAAGUUCUUUUGGUGGCAGUCAAUCAAUAGAUGGUGGGAAUGGAGACCAACCUGAGGAUUUCAAUAAUAAUCAAAGUGGUGGGAAUUGGAGAGGUGGUUCAGGUAGAGGAAAUUCAGACAAAGGAGGUUUUAGAGGUGGACGGGGUUUUGUAGGUAUAGGUGGUGAUAGAGAGGAGGAUAGAGGGGGUUUUGGACGUAGAUGGGGUUUUGGUGGUAGAGGUGGAGACAGAGGGAGCUUUGGUGGUAGAGGUAAAUCAGACAAAGGAAGGUUUGGUGGUAGAGGCUAUGGAGGAAGAGGCCAUGGGAGGGAUCAAAGUGGUGGUUGGAGCAAUAGAAAUGAAUCUAUUGAUAAUAACUCAUCAGGCUGGAGCAAAGGGGCAGACGGUGCUGGCGAGGGAUGGAAAAAGAGUGGAGGAAGUUGGAACCAAGGAGGUGGCAGUAAGAACGAUUGGCAGGGUAGGAACUCUAGUGGAUGGAGUAGCCAGAGCUCCGGUUGGAACCAGUCUGAUGUGACUAAAAGAAUUGGUGGUUUGGGAUCAGGUUGGAAUCAGACAGUGGAGGCUAAAUAUACUGCUGGCACUCAGGACAAAGGAACAGGUUCUCAUAAUGAAGUGGGCAGAAACUGGGGAAACAAUUGGAAAUCAUCAGAUGCUUCUAAUGGGGACCAAUCGUCUAGCUGGAAACAAUCGACUGCAGCCAGAGAAGUCAAAGGAACCACUGAUCAAGAUGGGGGCUGGAACAAGGGACCGAGCUCAAACGCACAAGCUGGGGGCUGGGGCAACCAGGGUUCAGGUUGGAACAAAGGAACAGGUUCAGGAUUUGGAGGUGGUACCGGAGAGCAACCAAGUGCUGCUGUUGGAGGUCAAUCAUCUGACUGGAAGCAAUCAAGUGUUGCAAGCGGGGCUCAAUCCUCUAGUUGGAAUCAAUCUGGUGAGGCAAAACAAGGAACUGAUGAAGGUGCAAAACUGACUAAUUCAUGGGGCAAAGCAGCAGCAGCAAGCUCUUGGGGCAAGGGUUCUGAUGGUGGAAGUAGCAAAGGAGGGUGGUGAUCAAAUCACCUCCUCAAAGAAUUAGGGUUUUAACUUAAAUGGUGUAGAUACUGCUUUGUCUUUUGCAGAGCUAGAAGAGUCUUAACUUAAACCCCCGUGUCUAUUGACAAUGGUUGAAAUUUUGUAUGCAUCUCUUUGAACCCCAAUCUUGGCUAAACUAUCCCUUUGUCAACGUUCAAGCUUUUCUAACAAAAAAUGAUGAUUCCACCAUAUCAAAGGGAUUCCUUCCUAAAAUACAGAAUGGAAUGGUUCAGGCUUCAGAAUAUCUACCAGAAAGAAUCUUGCCUGCAACUCCAGCCUAUGUUACGAACUACUCAGUGACUGAAACCAAAACCAACACCUUUAAACAACAUCCACAGCAGAAGAAAGUUGAAAAACUCCUCGAACGACCUGGGCAACCUGUUUGCAUUUAGUUCUCAAGAACAGGGGAUUGUAUGUUUAAAUAUAAUUGCAAAUAUCACCAUCCAAAAAAUCAGACUGCAGUGUCCCCCUCGUGUGCACUGAGUGCCAAGGGCCUUCCUUUGAGAACAGCUCCAGAAUAUCUACCAGAAAAAAGCAUGUCUGCUGCACCUCCACCCUUUGUUAUGAAUCACUCAGUCACUGAGACCAACGCCUAUGAACAACAUCCACAGCAGAAGCAAGUUGAAGAACUCCCAGAACGACCUGGGUGACAUGUUCGCAAUUAUUUCUCAAGAACAGGGGAUUCCAAGCAUAAAUCUAAUUGCAAAUAUCAGUAUCCAAACAAGCACACUGCAGUGUCCCCCUCAUGGGCACUGAUUGACAAGGGCCUCCCUUUGGGACCAGCUUUAGAAUAUCUUCCAGAAAGAAGCAUGCCUACCCCUCCACCAUAUGUUAUGAACUACUCGGUGACUGAAACUAACGCCUAUGAACAACAUCCACAGCAGAAGCAAGUUGAACAACUCCCAGAACGACCUGGGCAACCUGUUUGCAUUUACUUCUCAAGAACAGGGGAUUGUAAGUUUAUAUCUAAUUGCAAAUAUCACCAUCCAAAAAAUCAGACUGCAUUGUUCCCCUCAUGUGCACUGAGUGACAAAGGCCUCCCUUUGAGCCCAGGCUAGAACAUUUGCACACAAUACAGUACCUAUGGCAUUUCCAAUUCAGGGCCAGCUUGUAAAUUUGACCACCCGUCGUUAUCAACUUCCCUUCUGCGACGCGGCGAUGACAAAUGGGGCAGGGAACAUCCGGAAG